rnacentral:rRNA from 1 species
UACGUAGGGGGCUAGCGUUGUCCGGAAUCAUUGGGCGUAAAGCGCGCGUAGGCGGCCCGGUAAGUCCGCUCUGAAAGUCCAGGGCUCAACCCUGGAAUGCGGGUGGAUACUGCCGGGCUAGAGUCCGGAAGAGGCGAGUGGAAUUCCUGGUGUAGCGGUGGAAUGCGCAGAUAUCGCCUGGAACGCCGACGGCGAAAGCAGUCCGCUGGGGGUGUGCCGACGCUGAGACACGAAAGCCAGGGGAGCGAACGGG